AUGCCUAACCUCGACGAGUCCAUCCCUUCAAUGGGAAAAAUGAUGGCCAUGGUGGACGAUGAUGCACCCCCCACAUGGUUCCAUCAAGAUGAAGAUGACAACGAGACGAUCUUCAACACCUCACCUACAACACAUGAGCGACGCUCCAAAGGUAACAUAGGUGAUGGUGCUUCUCUUGUCCCACUAGUGGACUCUCUUGACAUCGAUUGCUCCCAUGAUGUUGACCCACCUAUUCCCAUGCUUCAUGCUAGUGAUACUUCUUCAUGCCUUGACUUACCUAUUUAUGAUGAAUAUGAUGAUGAGCAUGUUGAGUUGCCUAGUUGUGAUGCUAUGCUCCAUAGGAUAUCAUGUGAAAAUUCUAUUGGUCACGUCAUGUUUGAUAAUCCUUUAAACUUGUCAUAUGCUAUGAGUGAGAUCUCCCAUAUUGCAUCAUUACAAUCUCAACAUAGUAACUAUGCAUGCCCCAUUAAAAUCAAUCUCAUUUGCACUUAUGGCAUAGAUGACGAGAUGAUGGUCAUUGGCUUUUGUUUUUCAUGUGAUGAUAUUGCCAUGUUUCCUUUACAUGAUUUGCGCAUUUCAUCUACUAUGCCAUGCCAUGAUCACACUGUUCCAAAUAUGCAUUUGGAUGUUGUCAAUAUUCUCCACGUGAUGUUUCUACUCUUGCUCAUGAGGAGAUCCCCAUAG
rnacentral:rRNA from 1 species